AUUGAACGCUGGCGGCAGGCCUAACACAUGCAAGUCGAACGAGUGGCGGACGGGUGAGUAAUGUCUGGGAAACUGCCCGAUGGAGGGGGAUAACUACUGGAAACGGUAGCUAAUACCGCGUACCAUAGGAUGUGCCCAGAUGGGAUUAGCUUGUAGGUGAGGUAACGGCUCACCUAGGCGACGAUCCCUAGCUGGUCUGAGAGGAUGACCAGCCACACUGGAACUGAGUCACGGUCGAGACUCCUAGGGGAGGCAGAAGUGGGGAAUAUUGCAAAAUGGGAGUAAGCUUGAGGCAGCCAUGCCGCGGGUAUGAAGAAGGCCGUAGGGUGGUAAAGUACUUUCAGCGGGGAGGCGGUACCCGCAGAAGAAGCACCGGCUAACUCCGUGCCAGCAGCCGCGGUAAUUC
rnacentral:rRNA from 1 species